UGGGGAAUUUUGGACAAUGGGCGCAAGCCUGAUCCAGCCAUGCCGCGUGAGUGACGAAGGCCUUAGGGUUGUAAAGCUCUUUUGGCGGGGAAGAUAAUGACGGUACUAUUUAUAAGGUCCGGCUAACUACGUGCCAGCAGCCGCGGUAAUACGUAGGGACCAAGCGUUGUUCGGAAUUACUGGGCGUAAAGCGUACGUAGGCGGUGACUCAAGUCAGAGGUGAAAGCCUGGAGCUCAACUCCAGAACUGCCUUUGAAACUAGGUCGCUAGAAUCACGGAGAGGUGAGUGGAAUUCCGAGUGUAGAGGUGAAAUUCGUAGAUAUUCGGAAGAACACCAGUGGCGAAGGCGGCUCACUGGAUCGGUACUGACGCUGAGGUGCGAAAGCGUGGGGAGCAAACAGGAUUAGAUACCCAAGUAGUCCCUGAGCGGGCUGGCAAGGCGCAU
rnacentral:rRNA from 1 species